GAGUUUGAUCGUGGCUCAGAUUGAACGCUGGCGGUAUGCUUAACACAUGCAAGUCGAACGGUAACAGGAGAGAGCUUGCUCUUUUGCUGACGAGUGGCGGACGGGUGAGUAAUGCGUAGGAAUCUGCCUAGUAGUGGGGGACAACGUGUGGAAACGCACGCUAAUACCGCAUACGCCCUACGGGGGAAAGCGGGGAUCUUCGGACCUCGCGCUAUUAGAUGAGCCUACGUUAGAUUAGCUAGUUGGUGGGGUAAAGGCCUACCAAGGCGACGAUCUAUAGCUGGUCUGAGAGGAUGAUCAGCCACACUGGGACUGAGACACGGCCCAGACUCCUACGGGAGGCAGCAGUGGGGAAUAUUGGACAAUGGGCGAAAGCCUGAUCCAGCAAUACCGCGUGUGUGAAGAAGGCCUGAGGGUUGUAAAGCACUUUCAAUUGUGAAGAAAUAUUUAAGGUUAAUAACCUUAAAUUUUGACGUUAACUUUAGUAAGAAGCACCGGCUAACUACCGUGCCAGCAGCCGCCGCGGU
rnacentral:rRNA from 1 species